CGUUACAGUAGACACAGUCAUAGAAAUAAUUUUUCAUUGUUGUGUGUUUUUUUGUUGUUUAGCCCCACCUGUUUCCGUAUCUCGGCCUCUUCAUAAGGGAUAUCGGCUGCUUCACAUUCAGAUCAUUUCAAUUUGUUAAGCUGCGCUCUCACACACAGAAUAUUUCACCUCCUCAUCCAACACCGACGUUGCGUUUGUUCCAGAUGGAGGUCUCCAGGAUGCGGUCCGCCUGGGCGGCUCUCUGCACCGCCGUGCUAGUGAUGUCAGGCUCUGCUGAAGGUGCUAGUUUGGUGACGUUAAAAGCGGCGAACACAGAACCGUCAUACUCUUAUGACUUAACCAUGGACGUCACCAACCGCAUCUACAGUGAUUCUCUCCUCAACCCUAACUCUCACGACUAUAAUAUGAUGUUUGGGCAAGUUAGCAGUGCGCUCUACUCUGUCUACGGCUGCCCCACUUGCGGGACACGCACAUUUUAUCAAGGUGUAACAGCCAUGACCUUCAGUAACAAGGCUGGAUCUGUGGUUGUUCAGGCCACCAUCAUGUUCAGCUCAAGGCACACCAAUGCUGUGGUUAUUAAAUUCCUAUUUCUGUCAGCCAUCAGUGACAAAAAUGAAAUAAAUGGCCUGAAAAUCAACCCUGACUUCAUACAGGUCAUACAAGGAUCAGCUCCUGCACCGAUGAGCACUUCCCAUCCAACCACUACUCCUAGCCCUACUCCUACCACUACUACUCCAACUCCUACUACUUCUACCACUACUCCUAGCCCUACUCCUACCACUACUACUCCAACUCCUACUACUACAACUAUUUGUGGCACGAUUCCUCCAAGUACUCCUAACACUUCUCCAAACACUACUACUCCAACUCCUCCUACUACUACAACUAUUUGUGACACGAUUCCUCCAAGUACUCCUACCACUACUCCAAACACUACUACUCCAACUCCUCCUACUACUACAACUAUUUGUGACACGAUUCCUCCAAGUACUCCUAACACUACUCCAAACACUACUACUCCAACUCCUACUACUACUAUAACUAUUUGUGACACGAUUCCUCCAAGUACUCCUAGCCCUACUCCUACCACUACUACUCCAACUCCUACUACUACAACUAUUUGUGACACGAUUCCUCCAAGUACUCCUAACACUACUCCAAACACUACUACUCCAACUCCUACUACUACUAUAACUAUUUGUGACACGAUUCCUCCAAGUACUCCUAACACUACUCCAACCACUACUACUCCAACUCCUACUACUACUACAACUAUUUGUGACACGAUUCCUCCAAGUACUCCUAACACUACUCCAAACACUACUACUCCAACUCCUACUACUACUAUAACUAUUUGUGACACGAUUCCUCCAAGUACUCCUAACACUACUCCAACCACUACUACUCCAACUCCUACUACUACUACAACUAUUUGUGACACGAUUCCUCCAAGUACUCCUAACACUACUCCUAGCCCUACUAUAACCACUGCUCCUUCAACUACUCCUACAAGUAUUCUAACCACUACUCCUCCAAUUACUCCUCCAACUGCUUCUGAAAUUGGAUUUACACCUAUUCCAACCACUACUCCUAUAACUUUUCCAUCCACUGCACCUUCAGUUACUCCUACCACCAGUCCUCCAAUUAGUUCUACCACCAAUCCAAUCAUCCCUAUACAAUACGAUGCAACAAGUUCAGCUACUCCUCCUCCAAUUCCACCUACCACUACUCAAACAACUACUACUCCAGUUACUCCCUUCACUUCUCCUACAACUACCCCUACAACCAUAAUAUCUACUACUACUUCAUUUACUCCUAACACUACUUUUCCAACUAUUUCUACAACUAGUCAAACCACUACUACUAUUACACUCACCACUACUCCUGGAACUAUUACAACCACUGUUCCAAUUUCUUCUAUCCCACUCCCCGACCCACAACCCCAAGCAAUCCCUGUCCCACAACCCGAACAAGUCCCUGAACCACAACCCGAACCAGUCCCUGAACCAUUGCCGGACCCAUUUCCCCUACCAAUUGAUGAACCACUGCCACUAAUCCUUCCAGAUGCCGAACAGCAGAAACACUGACAUGACACUGGAAUCUUAUUGGGUGUUGCGUCAGUGGUGGUGUUAGUGUGUUUAAACAAUGGGUACAAUUACUGGCCUACACACCUAACCUGUUGAUUCUCCUUGAAGCCAUACACUUCAUCUACAAACUUAAAUAAAACUUCAUUUCUCCAUGCAGCAGCAAUAUCUAUUCUUCCCACAACUUAAUGCCAAUGGCAGAAAUGAAAUAAAAGGCCUGAAAAUCAACCAUGAAUUAACACAGAUUAAGAAUAAACACUGUCCUAUCUAUAAUGAAAGGUAUAACAUAAAUAGUCAUACUAAAAAUACUAACCCUGAGCUCUUCUCAGAAUCAUACCAGGAACAGCUCCUGUACUGAUGAAUAUCUCCAGGACUUCCCAUCCAACCCCUACUCAAUCCAGUACGGUACUCCCAUCUCUACUCCGACCCCUUAUCCAUUAACUUGUGAACCCUUUCUUUCAGCCACUAGUCCUAUACUUCAGAUAAUUAAUUAUCAUGUCUUCGCACUAUGACUACUCCAAUCACUGCUCCUACCACCACUCCUACGCCUAUUUCUACUACUACUCCUAGUACCCCUUAAAAGGUGUUGUUAAUGUUGCUAAAGAACAAGUCCUUUUUUAUUCACACCCCCUGUGUUCAAAUACCAUCUGCAUCACCAGCCAUUGGCGUAAUCCUUGGGGAGGAGGACGUCCACCAAAAGAUGCUCCAUGUUAUUUGUUUGCCAGUGUUACGUGCAGUGAUAGGAGGCAGGACGCACAAGUGUGUAAAACCUACUGUGUGCUUUAUUAAGGAGAAUCAUUGUCAGAGAUCCAAGUGGGUGUCAGAGCACAGGCAGCAAACUAGAACGAUCCGUUAAUCGUUAGAUUAAAACUGUGAAAUAAUGCACACAGACCAGGAACUAGAAAACAAGGCUUGGAUUUUUGUUAGAAAUGCAUGAUAAGGCUUUGCAACGAAACAAUGAAAUAGCAGGCUAUACAUAGGUAAAUGAAUGAAGGACUAGACAGAACAGGUGCACACAUUGGGUAACAGGCCAAUGACAGGACGGGGUGGAUACAGGAUUGAAACAGAAACAAAAGCACAAAGUAAAUAUGGUAGAAAUGGGAUUUGAAUUUUUCUCCAGUCUCUUAUUAAUAGCCUACCAGUAAACCUCCCACAAAUACUGUACCUCUCCCCUAAAAUACAAUACAUGUACAAAGGCUGGAUUUCAGUUAUCGCUCACUAGUGUUGGGUAAACCAUCAAGUUUUGUCAGCGGAAGGAUGUGUUUUUACAGCAUGUGAAUGAAACAGCCAUCAUAGUACGGCACUCAUGUCUCCAUCUGUAAAAUACACUGGUAAGAGAAUAUCAGAACUUUUGUUUUAGUCAGAAAAGAUUAAAAUCGCUAAUAAUACAUCUGAAGAUCAUGUGUUUGUUACAUUGUUCAUGAGUUGCUCUUUAACAAACUUUUAACCGCAUUCAUCGCUCUUAUUUCCUAUAUGAUAUGGGAACAUAUGUUUUAAACCCGCCUUCACAAUAUUUUACAGUAUCCUACAUCCCCUAUUCAGUAUCCCCUCAGAAAAGCACAUCUCUGUCAAGGUUCUUUUCUCGUUUCUGUUUUCUUAUCCAUUACUGUCAUUGUCACUUAAUCAUUAGAGGAAUGGAUGCUUUCCAUUUCUUUAGAGCUGAUUUGUCUACAUUGUCUCAGUGCGUGUUGUUGUAAACAGCACAAAACAAAUAAAAUGGAGUUUUACAGGA
ensembl:lncRNA